rnacentral:rRNA from 1 species
UAGAUUGACAUGACUCUCGGCAAUGGAUAUCUCGGCUCUCGCAUCGAUGAAGAGCGCAGCGAAAUGCGAUACGUGGUGCGAAUUGCAGAAUCCCGCGAACCAUCGAGUCUUUGAACGCAAGUUGCGCCCGAGGCCAACCGGCCAAGGGCACGUCUGCCUGGGCGUCA